ACUCCUACGGGAGGCAGCAGUGGGGAAUAUUGCACAAUGGGGGAAACCCUGAUGCAGCCAUGCCGCGUGUGUGAAGAAGGCCUUCGGGUUGUAAAGCACUUUCAGUAGGGAGGAAGGUAGUGUAGUUAACACCUGCACUAUUUGACGUUACCUACAGAAGAAGCACCGGCUAACUCCGUGCCAGCAGCCGCGGUAAUACGGGAGGGUGCGAGCGUUAAUCGGAAUUACUGGGCGUAAAGCGCAUGCAGGCGGCCUGUUAAGUCAGAUGUGAAAGCCCGGGGCUUAACCUCGGAAUUGCAUUUGAAACUGGCAGGCUAGAGUCUUGUAGAGGGGGGUAGAAUUUCAGGUGUAGCGGUGAAAUGCGUAGAGAUCUGAAGGAAUACCAGUGGCGAAGGCGGCCCCCUGGACAAAGACUGACGCUCAGAUGCGAAAGCGUGGGGAGCAAACAGGAUUAGAUACCCUGGUAGGAUAGCG
rnacentral:rRNA from 1 species